ACUUGUCAAUAGAUGCAGCUGCAUUAAAUUUGGUACUAAAUUCUAAGUGACGUGCCUUUUUAAAUUAUGCAAACGAAUUGCUUUUUGCCUAAUAAAAAACGGAUCAUCAAAGUUGAAUGCUGGAAAAGCUUUUUAAAUGAUUAAUUAACAUUCUAAUUGCAAUUUUUUUUCUCUGGUAUACUUAGUUUGAAAAUGCUCAUCGAUCUGCUCUAACGUUUGCCUAUAUAAGAAGAGCAUUUUCUGAAAUUGUGGAAUUGAUUUCAAUCUCUAGUCAACUUCGACGACAAGAAUAUGAAUUUAUUUCGCUUCUGUUUAGUAUUUGGGGCAGUAUUUCUAGCAUCCCUGCCCAUGGUAACUCCUAAAGGAGGCUGCCGCGGUGGUUGCAGAUUGAAGCCUGUUAGAGGAAGCCGUUUUGGUUAAGGCAACAGAUAUCGUCAAUAACUUUCGCUUUUAAAGUAUGAGAAAAAUUAAAUAAUUUUUUUUAUUCUAUUUUUAUUUUAUAUGAAGAAGAAACUAAAUAACGAAAUAAAAAUCAAUAUGAUAACUAAA